rnacentral:rRNA from 1 species
GUACGCUGGCGGCACGCCUAACACAUGCAAGUCGAACGAAGUAGCAAUACUUAGUGGCAGACGGGUGAGUAACAUGUAGGUAUCUACCCUUUGGCCUGGAAUAACACGAGGAAACUUGUGCUAAUACCGGAUAAGUCUUUACAGAGAAAGCUUUAUGCACCAUUGGAUGAGCCUGCACUAGAUUAGUUUGUUGGUGGGGUAAUGGCCUACCAAGACUGUGAUCUAUAGCUGAUUUGAGAGGAUGAUCAGCCACAUUGGGACUGAGACACGGCCCAAACUCCUACGGGAGGCAGCAGUGGGGAAUCUUGCACAAUGGAGGAAACUCUGAUGCAGCGAUGCCGCGUGAGUGAAGAAGGCCCUUGGGUUGUAAAGCUCUUUCGUCGGGGAAGAAAAUGACUGUACCCGAAUAAGAAGGUCCGGCUAACUUCGUGCCAGCAGCCGCGGUAAUACGAAGGGACCUAGCGUAGUUCGGAAUUACUGGGCUUAAAGAGUUCGUAGGUGGUUGAAAAAGUUGGUGGUGAAAUCCCAGAGCUUAACUCUGGAACUGCCAUCAAAACUUUUCAGCUAGAGUAUGAUAGAGGAAAGCAGAAUUUCUAGUGUAGAGGUGAAAUUCGUAGAUAUUAGAAAGAAUACCAAUUGCGAAGGCAGCUUUCUGGAUCAUUACUGACACUGAGGAACGAAAGCAUGGGUAGCGAAGAGGAUUAGAUACCCUCGUAGUCCAUGCCGUAAACGAUGUGUGUUAGACGUUGGAAAUUUAUUU